rnacentral:rRNA from 1 species
UACAGAGGUGGCAAGCGUUGUUCGGAAUUACUGGGCGUAAAGGGCGAGUAGGCGGCCUUCUAAGUCAGACGUGAAAUCCCCCGGCUUAACCUGGGAACUGCGUCUGAUACUGGGAGGCUCGAGUAUGGGAGAGGGAUGUAGAAUUCCAGGUGUAGCGGUGAAAUGCGUAGAUAUCUGGAGGAAUACCGGUGGCGAAGGCGGCAUCCUGGACCAUUACUGACGCUGAAUCGCGAAAGCUAGGGAAGAAACGGGG